rnacentral:rRNA from 1 species
UAGUGAGUUUGAUCCUGGCUCAGAUUGAACGCUGGCGGCAUGCUUUACACAUGCAAGUCGAACGGCAGCGCGGGGCAACCUGGCGGCGAGUGGCGAACGGGUGAGUAAUAUAUCGGAACGUACCCAAGAGUGGGGAUAACGUAGUGAAAAUUACGCUAAUACCGCAUACGAUCUAAGGAUGAAAGCGGGGGUAUCGCAAGACCUCGCGCGAUUGGAGCGGCCGAUAUCAGAUUAGGUAGUUGGUAGGUAAAGGCCUACCAAGCCAACGAUCUGUAGCUGGUCUGAGAGGACGACCAGCCACACUGGAACUGAGACACGGUCCAGACU